CAACCGAUUGUUAGCUAAGCUGCUUUGCGCUUCAAUACUGCUUUGGUUCGACAAGAAUAGCCAAAGUGUUAACUACGCUCGAUCGGAGUGGUUGAGUAUUUGUGCUUCUGCUCGCUGCAUAGUUUUUAAUAAGGACUACAAAUAUAUACGCUGACUGAUUUAUACGCGAUCGGGAACGUGAAUUUUAAAUAAACUGAAUCAAUUUAAAUAUUAAAAAAAUCAGAAAUUUGAGAGCCUCUGUUUAAAUUUCGAACGUAGUCGAGGACCACGAGAAUCGAUCGCACUUCAAAGCUCAAGUAAAAAGUCGGCAAAUGUUAUCCGCACGAGAACAGUUUUUCGCACCUUCCUCAUUGCCAGCAUCAGCAUUGGGUCUGGGUAUUGAGGUGGUUGACCAGCGGUCACCUCCUGUUUAUAGCCCAACAACAGUGCCAUUAACCAGUGUACAUGGUUGGCGGAAUGGCGGAAGCGUCUUUGCCUCUGCGCCAUCUACAAAUGGCAGCGAAGCACAUAGCGAUCAACAGCAGACACAAAUGCAGCCAUUGGUGGCAAAUAAAAGUAACGGCUGUACUAAUGGCAGUAAGGAGAAAAACUCUGAUGAACCAUUCUCGAAUUUGCCUUCCCGUGAGCCAGUAGAUAUAGAAUUUAAGGAGUUGUCACUUACAGUACAAAUGGGGUUUGGAAAAGGAGAAAAGGAGAUAUUACAUAAUGUCGGCGGAAAAUUUCCUGGUAGUCAGCUAAUUGCCAUAAUGGGCCCUUCUGGUGCAGGAAAAUCCACAUUACUGGAUGCGUUAUCUGGCUUUAAAACAACAGGUGUAGAUGGUUCUAUACUCCUGAACGGUCGUCGACGAGACUUGCCUUCAUUUCGUCGAAUGUCCUGUUACAUAACACAAGAUGAUCGCCUUCAGCCGUUAUUAACAGUAAACGAGAAUAUGCAUAUAGCAGCAGAUUUGAAAUUGGGCUCAAAUGUGAGUUAUGAGGAAAAGGAAGGAAGGAUCGAAGACAUUCUGUUGCUGCUGGGCUUGUACGAACAUGACCAAACAAUGACUAUGCGUCUAUCCGGUGGACAAAAGAAGAGGCUCUCUAUUGCAAUGGAAUUGAUAAACAAUCCAACAGUAAUGUUCCUUGACGAACCGACAACUGGUCUGGACAGCAGUUCCUGCACCAAAGUAUUGGAAUUAUGCAAGAAGUUAGCACAACAGGGUAGGACCAUUAUCUGUACAAUUCAUCAACCAACAGCCAAAUUAUUUCAAAUCUUCGAUCAAGUAUACGUACUAUCGUCCGGUAAUUGUGUCUACCAAGGCAGUACAGAAAAAUUAGUGCCAUUCUUACAGACCGUCGAUUUGCCAUGUCCUGUUUACCACAAUCCUGCUGAUUACAUUAUAGAAUUAGCUUGCGGAGAGUAUGGGAACGAUAAAGUUGAUGUCUUGAAAUCAGCAGCAGAGAAUGGUAGUAGUCUAGCGUGGUUUGACGACCCAAGUUCUAUAUUACGCGCAGAAACAUUAAUUCGAAAAUAUCCGAUUCCGAGAAAAUCAAAAAAACGUUCUUUGGAGGAUACGAGCUAUAUCAAUCAAUUAUCGGUAUUACUGCAUCGGGGAUAUGUAAAGGCUAAGCGUGAUACAACCUUAACUCAUUUGCGCAUAGCUGUAAAUGUGUUUGUUGCCAUCAUUCUGGGUUCAUUAUACGCCGGCUCCGGUCGUGAGGGCUCAAGAGUUUUAGACAAUUAUAACUUACUGUUUGCUAUAUUAAUCCAUCAUUCGAUGACAACGAUGAUGUUAACUGUAUUAACAUUCCCAAUAGAGAUGUCAAUAUUGUUGAAAGAACACUUUAAUCGCUGGUAUUCCCUAAAGGCUUACUACACAUCAAUCACAUUAAUCGAUCUGCCCAUUUCAGUUGUUGGCUGUUUACUUUUUACUGUUAUUAUAUAUCUGUGGAGUUAUCAACCAAUGGAGUGGGAGCGAUUUUGGAUGUUCUUUGCUAUGAGUUUGCUGACUGUAUUCGUUGGUCAAAGUUUUGGGCUGAUGAUUGGCGCUUGGUUUAGUGUUGUGAAUGGAACUUUCUUAGCACCUGUGCUGACUAUUCCGAUGAUGAUGUUUGCCGGUUUCGGGGUAACACUUCGAGAUUUACCCAGUUAUUUGAAAUGGGGCAGCCAUAUAUCUUACCUUAGAUAUGGUUUGGAAGGCUUUGUUGGUGCCAUUUAUGGUCAGGGACGUGGUGUGUUAGACUGUAAUGAAGCGCCUUACUGCCAUUAUAGAUACCCGAAACUAAUAUUAGUCGAUUUAACAAAUUUGUGAUAGGCUCAUAGCUAAUUCUUUGCUUUGUGAGAGUCUUUAUGAUCCAUAUAUAUUAGUUUUAGGUAUCACAUAUGAUCCUUGCUUGCGUUUGAAACAAGAUCGACUUUUUAACCUAAUCUAGUUAAUCGAAUUAUUCUUUUAAAAAUAUUCAUUGCGCUGAAUACGCUAAUGGCAUGGGCUCAAUGACAAAAUUUACCAAAAUAGCUAAGGUUAGUCUUUAAAUUUAUGUUAUCGAAAAAUGCGGAAAUUACUUAAUAAUUUAUAUUUAUGUAUAUUAAUGACGCCUCCAACAGCCAAUAAGACCUAAUCGAAUGUGUGAAACAUGUCAUUGUCACAUUACAAUUAGGAAGCGAACAUCAGCAAACACAAUGGUCCGCCUUCUUCCUAUAAUAUAGGCUGAGAUAUUGUAUGUUAACUUUAGUAAAGCAUUGUGUAAAAGGAAAAAGAGAAAAUUUGGUUUAGUGUUCCGAUAAAAAGUUUAUUGGCGGUACUAGAAAGUUAAAAAUAUAAAUUGGAACAAUUAAAUAAAAAAAAGGCACUCUUUAAAAGCUUAAGUAUACUAAAUCUUGCAACGCAAUAUAUAUUAUAUUAAAUAUUAAUAAAAAUAAAUAUAUUCAAGUGAAAUUAACAAAUGAGUAUCUCAAAAAGAGCAAUAAAAUUAAAAAAACAAAUAAGGAAGAGCUAAUUUUGGGAGUAAUCAAAAAUAUACUUUUGCUACUUGCAGGAAUCAAAGCUGGUGAAAUUCCUUCAGGAGCUGGCAAAAAGCCAUUAGCAAAGAUUUAGUUUUAUUGCUAUAAUUUAGUUCCCGUCAGUUAAAUUAUAAAACCUCUUCAAAUGAGAUAUGUGUGAUAUGUAUGUAAUAUUAACUCGACCGAAGAGGAAAAAUUUAAUAUGUUAAGAUAAUGGGAUAAAAAGCUCAGACGAAGGUAUGGACCAAUUGCUUUCAAACUCAGUGCUAAUGCACACAAUUUUUAAGAAAACUUUUCCAUUUAGUUUCAUUAAAAUAUCACGCAUUUUGACCAACCUGAAUGACUUAAAUACAGGUGAAAAAACGGAAAUCUUUAUAUGUGAUGUGUUGAGAGCAGAGAAAGAGUCUGGCUUAUUGCAUUAAUUUUGAUAUUGCUUAAGUAUAUUUGAGAACAUAUCGCUCAUUUGCUGCAAGACCGGCAUAAUUCAAAAAACGUGAUUUUUGAGUUAAUGCUGCAGAAUUGUUCGUUAUAUCAUACUUUAUGUUGAGUGAAAAAUUCAUAUGAAUACCUCUUAUAUGCUCCGCUUGAGAAGAGGUGUAAGGUUGGUGUCACCGUGUAAGGUUGUAGUAAGUUGAAAACUUUAAACAACUUUAAACGCGUUUUCUGGAGAAUCGAUUUUUUUGACUUAUGCCGGUCUUGCAGCAAAUGAGCGAUAUUUUAAAGCAAUUUUAUAUAUAAAUCAGUGAGUACUGACUGAUAUACUUGGCAUAAAACUUGUUAAAAUAACGAAAAUUAUUAUAAGUUGUAUAUGGAAGUUAGAGGUAGGAUUAACUCGAUUUUUAUUUAUUUUAACCAAGACUACAUACAACUAAAAUGCCACAGACUAAUACAAUGCUGCCAGAGUUUCACCGAGUGUUCGCAAAUUUUUAGGUUAUGUAUUUUGGGGGUACGGGAAGUAUUGACCUGAUUCAACCCACAUAGACCUACUAUUAUCAGGGAAUAAUUCUCUCCAGAUUUCAAUUAUAUAUCUUGCACAUUGACCGACAUUUUCAAUACCGAAUUCCGAUCCGAUUAAAUUCAUUUUCACACUGUCGGUAAUCUGGUGCUAUAUUCGGCAUUUGUCGCAAUUUUUACAUAAUAAAAACUUUGUUCUGUUCAUGUCACAAAAAAACAAGUGGAUUUUUGUUUACCAGUGUAAUUGGCGGACCAAUUAUCCCCAUAAUAACGUAGCAAAGAGGUUGAGAGAUGCAACCUCAGCCAAAGUUGCGAGGGUUAAACAAUAUACAAUAAAUAACAACCUUCUUUUACGGUAAAUUCUGAUUUGAAUACUAAUAAUAAAAAAAACUAAUAAUAAUAAAAAAUAAAACAAUAAUUUCUAUGUAUUUCGAGAAACAAAACACGUGAUGCAGCAAGAUACAGGCAGUUAAGAGGGAUUGACACUUAAACGGACUACUAUUUAACCGGGAUUGACUGUAUACAUAUAUAAAUCAGAGAAAUAUUUAAUACAAACAAAUCGACAAAUAUACUAUGUUCUCAAUUUUAUUCUAAUAUAUUUAAAUUCAUUUUCACAAUAUUUAUAUUUUCAGGGUUGUCAGUUUUUCCUUCUUAAGUACAAAUAUCAGAAAUAUGUAUGUUCAAUUUAUGAUUUUAAGCUUUUGCCUUUGUCGCGAUAAACCGCUUGUAGGCAAAGGCAUGCUCGGGGAGAGGUGUUUGACAUUUGAUUAUAUGAAUAAAUCAUAUUUGCUCGCACAUUCAGCGCUUGCGUUCAUGAAUGAAAAUGUUGCACUGAUCGCAUGUCUCAAACAUCAUCACAAGUGAAUAUGGCCGUCAAAUUGCCGACGUCAAAAUUUAUAGUAAAUUACACGUUAUUUCUGAAAAGUGAUAAUAUGUAUCUUGAUUUGAAUUUGAAUUGUACUUACAUCCACACAUACAUAUAUACAUAUUAUUUGAAAUUAUAUUAAAAAUGUAUACAAGAAAUAUUUAAAGAGUAGCUCAUUUGUUCAUUAUUUUUUUUUUAUUUUGAUGCGGUUUUUUUUAAAUAGAUAGAGGGAUUGAAGUGGAAGGUUUAUAUUUAUAAUAGCAUCCAUUAAAUAGUGGAGAAACACAUUUAUUUUUGAGGUUUCUAAUAUGUUGUCGUAAAUAAAUACAUUUUUUCCGUUUACAUUGCAAACGCAGGCUGAACCCUACGAGAUUUACAUAUCUAAAUACUCGUAAUGCACUAAAUAUUGUACACAUUGAAAAAAUCUACAGAAAACUCCGCGAUAUUAUAUGUCUAUCUCUUAUGAACAUCCCACUAUAACAUUUUUUUGUCAUUUAGUUUUUAUGAAACUUUCUUGCAGGAAAUUCGAAGUAAUCGUCAAAUUCAUCCUAAAGCUUAUAGUAGAAACACUCAAAAACGCUUCCUUCCUUCCUUCCUUUUCCUUCCUUAUCGGGAAAAUGUGUGCACAGUCAAAAACGUGGUAAAAACGCAGAAAUCAGCCAUCUUUGCUUUGUUUUCAUUUGAACAAUGUUGCCAUUGCCUAAUACGCAUAUAUAGUUUUAAGCACAUCUUUGUUUUCAAUAACAAUUUUUUACAAUAUAAAGUAUCAAAACUGAAAACAAACUAUUAAAAAUAGUUUAUAUAUUUAUAAAUAAUAGCAUUCGACUCUGAUUUUGAGUUAUUUUAAGAAAAUUUCAAACAUAUUGAACCGAUUGAAUUAUAAAAGUUGAUAAUUACUGCAGUAUAUCGAUAUUGGCAACCUUGCGUUGUGAGAGAGCAAUCAGCUGAGACGUUUGCGACGGCAAAAAUCCAAAUGUCGCAGAUUCUCACGUCAACGUCACGUCAGAGAGAAGGGAGUAGCGUUUUUCACUGUUCAGUUACAUUGCGCGCCCAUAAGAUAGGUCGUCCCAGCUGACACGACCCACGAUUCUGCGUUGUUCACUAACCAGCCUAUUAGUACGCAGCUCUCAAGUAAUUGCUCAAGAACAAAAAUACAUUAUUUCUGAAGUAAUUUUGACAGCUGGUUACGCAUUGUGAAUGAUCCACAUUAGAAGAGCAAGAGGGAAUAAACAAAGUAAACAAACUUUGUGCGUAUGCAUGUAUGUAUGUAUGCGUAUGGUAACACAAAUAUUUUCAUUGAGAUUUAAGGAAUGUUGUUGAUGAUUGGUUGGUUUUAUACAACAUUUCAAAAUGGAAUAUACUUUAUAAUAAUGAUUUCAACUAAUUUAGGAUGAAUUUGACGAUUACUUCGAAUUUCCUUCAAGAAACAAUUGUUGAUUUGAUGUUUCUUCGCAAAACCAGGUUUGCCAUAUUCACAUUUUAUUGAAAAAAAGUAUUAAAAAUUAGUACUAGAUUUCUUGAGAGCUGCGUACUAGCACAAGUAAGCUUAUCGCAGGAACGUUUCUGGACCGUUUCUUAAGCGUUUUUUUAUAUGAAGUUUUUACGUUUCUUGAGAGCUGCGUACUAAGCUUUAAAGGUUGGUACGCAGCUCUUAAGUAAUUGCUCAAGAACAAAAAUACAUUAUUUCUCAAGUAAGUUUGACAGCUGGUUACGCAUUGUGAAUGAUCCACAUCAAAAGAGCAAGAGAGAAUAAACAAAGUAAACAAACUUUGUGCGUAUGUAUGUAUGUAUGUAUGUGUAUGGUAACACAAAUAUUUUCAUUAAGAUUUAAGGAAUGUUGUUGAUGAUUGGUUGGUUUUAUACAACAUUUCAAAAUGGAACAUACUUUAUAAUAAUGAUUUCAACUAAUUUAGGAUGAAUUUGACGAUUACUUCGAAUUUCCUGCAAGAAACAAUUGUUGAUUUGAUGUUUCUUUGCAAAACCAGGUUUGCCAUAUUCACAUUUUAUUGAAAAAAAGUAUUAAAAAUUAGUACUAGCUUUCUUAAGAGCUGCGUACUAGCACAAGUAACUUUAUCGCAGGAACGUUUCUGGACCGUUUCUUAAGCGUUUUUUUAUAUGAAGUUUUUACGUUUCUUGAGAGCUGCGUACUAAGCUUUAAGGUUGGUACGCAGCUCUCAAGUAAUUGCUCAAGAACAAAAAUACAUUAUUUCUGAAGUAAUUUUGACAGCUGGUUACGCAUUGUGAAUGAUCCACAUUAGAAGAGCAAGAGAGAAUAAACAAAGUAAACAAACUUUGUGCGUAUGCAUGUAUGUAUGUAUGCGUAUGGUAACACAAAUAUUUUCAUUGAGAUUUAAGGAAUGUUGUUGAUGAUUGGUUGGUUUUAUACAACAUUUCAAAAUGGAAUAUACUUUAUAAUAAUGAUUUCAACUAAUUUAGGAUGAAUUUGACGAUUACUUCGAAUUUCCUUCAAGAAACAAUUGUUGAUUUGAUGUUUCUUCGCAAAACCAGGUUUGCCAUAUUCACAUUUUAUUGAAAAAAAGUAUUAAAAAUUAGUACUAGAUUUCUUGAGAGCUGCGUACUAGCACAAGUAAGCUUAUCGCAGGAACGUUUCUGGACCGUUUCUUAAGCGUUUUUUUAUAUGAAGUUUUUACGUUUCUUGAGAGCUGCGUACUAAGCUUUAAGGUUGGUA